rnacentral:rRNA from 1 species
UUAUUCUUGAAUGUAGUUGAGGUAGGCGGAAUGUGUAAUGUAGCGGUGAAAUGCUUAGAUAUUACACAGAACACCGAUUGCGGAGGCAGCUUGCUAAGCUACGAUUGACGCUGAUGCACGAAAGCGUGGGGAGCGAACAGGAUUAGAUACCCUGGUAGUCCACGCUGUAAACUAUGAUCACUCGUUGUUUGCGAUAUACAGUAAGCGACUGAGCGAAAGCAUUAAGUGAUCCACCUGGGGAGUACGUUGGCAACAAUGAAACUCAAAGGAAUUGACGGGGGCCCGCACAAGCGGAGGAACAUGUGGUUUAAUUCGAUGAUACGCGAGGAACCUUACCUGGGUUUAAAUGUAGGUUGCAUAGAGGGGAAACUCUCUUUUCCUUCGGGACUACCUACAAGGUGCUGCAUGGUUGUCGUCAGCUCGUGCCGUGAGGUGUCGGGUUAAGUCCCAUAACGAGCGCAACCCUUAUCGUUAGUUGCCAUCAGGUCAUGCUGGGGACUCUAACGAGACUGCCGGUGUAAACCGUGAGGAAGGUGGGGAUGACGUCAAAUCAGCACGGCCCUUAUAUCCAGGGCUACACACGUGUUACAAUGGUCGGUACAAAGAGCAGCCACUUGGCGACAAGGCGCUAAUCUCGAAAGCCGAUCACAGUUCGGAUCGGAGUCUGCAACUCGACUUCGUGAAGUUGGAUUCGCUAGUAAUCGCGCAUCAGCCACGGCGCGGUGAAUACGUUCCCGGGCCUUGUACACACCGCCCGUCAAGCCAUGGAAGCUGGGGGUGCCUGAAGUCCGUAACCGCAAGGAGCGGCCUAAGGUAAAACUAGUAACUGGGGCUAAGUCGUAACAAGGUAACCAAGGGCGAA